rnacentral:rRNA from 1 species
GUGCCAGCAGCCGCGGUAAUACGUAGGUCCCGAGCGUUGUCCGGAUUUAUUGGGCGUAAAGCGAGCGCAGGCGGUUAGAUAAGUCUGAAGUUAAAGGCUGUGGCUUAACCAUAGUACGCUUUGGAAACUGUUUAACUUGAGUGCAAGAGGGGAGAGUGGAAUUCCAUGUGUAGCGGUGAAAUGCGUAGAUAUAUGGAGGAACACCGGUGGCGAAAGCGGCUCUCUGGCUUGUAACUGACGCUGAGGCUCGAAGCGUGGGGAGCAAACAGGAUUAGAUAC